rnacentral:lncRNA from 1 species
CGAUCCUCAAUUGCCAUCUAUACGCGUGCGUUAUGCCCAAAAGAGUGACAGUAGGUCCAAAACUAACAUCUUAACUUUGAGCGCCUAUAACUUCUUCAUAAAAAUCCCAAAUGACACAAAACUUGCACCAAAACCUUAACCAAAAACCUAAACCUUCUGAUCUUAGCCUUCAAAGUUCGAAUCUCCUGAGAAACUAACCCUAAUCCCUAAUAUGGCCUCGGGCAGCC